rnacentral:rRNA from 1 species
UACGUAGGGGGCGAGCGUUGUCCAGAGUUACUGGGCGUAGAGCGCUUGUAGGCGGUCCACCAAGUUUGGGGUGACAGUUGCCGACUUAAUCGGCAAAGUGCCUCAAAGACUGGCGGACUUGAGGGCCACAGAGGGACGUGGAACUCCAGGUGUAGUGGUGAAAUGCGUAGAUAUCUGGAAGAACACCAAAGGCGAAGGCAGUGUCCUGGGUGGUCGCUGACGCUGAGAGGCGAAAGCCAGGGGAGCGAACGGG